UACGUAGGGUCCGAGCGUUGUCCGGAGUUACUGGGCGUAAAGCGUGCGCAGGCGGUUAUGUAAGACAGGUGUGAAAUCCCCGGGCUUAACCUGGGAACUGCAUUUGUGACUGCAUAGCUAGAGUACGGUAGAGGGGGAUGGAAUUCCGCGUGUAGCAGUGAAAUGCGUAGAUAUGCGGAGGAACACCGAUGGCGAAGGCAAUCCCCUGGACCUGUACUGACGCUCAUGCACGAAAGCGUGGGGAGCAAACAGG
rnacentral:rRNA from 1 species